AAAUUGAAGAGUUUGAUCAUGGCUCAGAUUGAACGCUGGCGGCAGGCCUAACACAUGCAAGUCGAACGGUAACAGGGAUCAGCUUGCUGAUUCGCUGACGAGUGGCGGACGGGUGAGUAAUGUCUGGGAAACUGCCUGAUGGAGGGGGAUAACUACUGGAAACGGUAGCUAAUACCGCAUAACGUCGCAAGACCAAAGAGGGGG
rnacentral:rRNA from 1 species